rnacentral:rRNA from 1 species
GUGGGGAAUAUUGGACAAUGGGCGAAAGCCUGAUCCAGCCAUGCCGCGUGUGUGAAGAAGGUCUUCGGAUUGUAAAGCACUUUAAGUUGGGAGGAAGGGUAGUAACCUAAUACGUUGCUACUUUGACGUUACCGACAGAAUAAGCACCGGCUAACUUCGUGCCAGCAGCCGCGGUAAUACGAAGGGUGCAAGCGUUAAUCGGAAUUACUGGGCGUAAAGCGCGCGUAGGUGGUUCAGUAAAUUGGAAGUGAAAUCCCCGGGCUCAACCUGGGAACUGCUUUCAAAACUGCUGAGCUAGAGUACGGUAGAGGGUGGUGGAAUUUCCUGUGUAGCGGUGAAAUGCGUAGAUAUAGGAAGGAACACCAGUGGCGAAGGCGACCACCUGGACUGAUACUGACACUGAGGUGCGAAAGCGUGGGGAGCAAACAGGAUUAGAAACCCUUGUAGUCC